ACAAUACUGCUUUCUGUUUUUAUUUUCUCUUUCUUUAUUCUUCAUUUGCUUUCACCCUGCCUCUCUUUUUCUCUUCAUAAUGCCCGUCACCACUCUGUCUGACAGAUUUUCUUGCAGCUGACUUUGCAGAUGAGAAACAUGAAAGGAUAUUUCGGACUCAGUGCCGCGUAAGGGUCCUUGAGCCAAUCUCUGCACACCAACUGCGCACUGCACCCUGGGCAAGCCCUGGAGUAUAAAGAUGAACAUGGCCUGUAAUAUCACAGAGCCCCACCCUGCAGUAGCAGAGCUCCUGGGAUUCUGCAGUCUCUGCCCCUCAGCUCCUCUGCAUCUCCAUCUGCUGCGUCAAGGCUGUAUCACUGCGAUCCUCCCAGACACCCGGGCACUGUUCAUUGGCCUUAUGGGAAAACCAUUCUCUGGGAUAUUGGCGUCUGCACUUCUGAGAAGAAUGUAUCUCUCUAUGUCAAAGAACUGCCUGCACUUGACACAUAGCUGAAAUGCUACCUCCUCCAUGAAGCCUUCCACGAUCUUCUAGUCUGGAAGCAUCUUUGCUUUCUGUAGGUCUGUUGAAGUCUUCUGUUUGCAGCCCAUAGAGACGCUUCAGCCAAAACAGACCGGAACCUGAAAAUGAAGCCACUAAAUAGCUCCAUGCUCUUAAGGAAUUGACACCCUGAGCCUGGAUAUUUUUGUCUGUGGAGACUGAUCACACCACCUACACUCCUUGUGAAGAUUGCACCCAAAGCAUUCGUGUAAUGCACACAGUGCUUGAUAAGGAACAGACAUGGUUGUUACUGUGGGUGCCCACUCUUAUGUACUACCUUUGAGUUACUCCGGUAUCAGCCAAGACCCCUGAGUGCUGCAGUCCAGUCUGUCGCAGAGGGUGGCCUCAGAUCCUACCCUGGUGGGGACGGGUGACAGCUGAAUUUUCUGAGCACCGUGGCAGAGGUCUGCUCUGAGGCUGCUGAGGGCACAAAACGGUCACCGAGACCAGCAGUUCCAGGACCACAGUCAUCAAAGGCCCAGGGCCCCACAAGGCCCAGCCCAUGCUGUUCAAACAAAGGAUGAGUUUCCUUGAAAAUCCUACUCUUUCCUCCCUAGAUUUCCCUUUCGGCUGCUUCUGUGGCCACACAUGUUUCCGAUGAAUCCACACUCAAAUGAAUUUCGACCGACAAAUAACUCGAUACAGCUCUUUGGUGGGAGAGAAUUCCACCAGGAUGAGGUCAUGGUUUGGCUACAGUAAAAUUAAAAAUAGCCCAGCACCCGCCGCUGCCCAGCCUGGCAUCCACCCAGGGCGGUGCAUUUGGGAACCAUUAUCGGGUUUAUCGGGGUAACGUAUCGCAGAAAACCUGCUUCUGUUUAUAGACCAUUUUAUUAUUCCGUUUUGACAUUUCCCUUUUUUCUUCUUCCCCUUAAGCAAAUACCUAUUAGACUGAGUUGAAAUGCGAUCCGACCAAAUAUACUGUUUUUCAACUUCAGGCUAAAGCAGGUCUGACUCGAAGCAGAAAUACUUAAGUGAAAAGUUAUGAUUUACUUUCUUCCUAAAAGGAAACAGUGUCAGAAGGAGAAUUUUAUGAGACAAGAGCCCUCGCGGUGCACAGAGCAGAGGCCGGCAGGCAGCUGACGCACAUUUUUCCUGGGAAAGUUCUGGGCUUCCAAGGCUGGGCCUGAUGCCCCGCCCCUAGCGCCCCCUGUGGUUACGUGGGUGUAGCGCACCAGGGGAACCACAUGGCCUUGCAGGUAGGUGGCUGGUGCAACCCGGCAGAGGAUGAUUAUCUUUGCCCAUUUAUCUUAUUGGGUAAAUUGAGACUCACAGGCUGAAGCAGCUUGCCCAGGAUACCCUAAGUGUGUCCUAGGUGUGCCAGCAUACGGUGUAAGAGGGAUUGAACCUUACAGUGUGGAAGAUGUGAGAACCAGCUCCCCUGUGUGAUGUUUGGCCAGGACUUUCUCCCUCCCACUUUUUAAAAUCAGAAUAUGUUUGCAAUAUGUAAUAAACAUACACAUUCGGAGGAAACAGAGACCCGACCUGAACCUGGAGUGUCCGACCCAGAGCCCGUGUCUCAGUGGUGACACCAUACAGUUUCUGCGACCAAUUAAAUCAGAAGCCAGAUGCAGAGGUCAAAGGUGAAAUCCAAGCCUCAGCGAGAACCAGACCCGGAGUUGCUGCCUGAAGCUUCCAGGUCCUUUCCUCACCCCAGUUUCUGUCUCAUUCUGUCAGGCCUGGGGCCACAAGUUAAAUGAUGGAAUGGGAAGAUGGUUUGAAUUCUCUGAAUGCAUCAAAAUAUAGGCCUGAAAGGAAAACAGGGUGGCGAGGGUGAGGCGCAAGGGCCCCGCCUGGCCUGCAGGCUGAUUGACACACAUAACCGCAUUUCACGGGCAGGGUGAGCCCCUCUGCCCCGCAGGCUGCAGCCCUCGAAUUGAUUUCCCGCCCUUUCCCUCCUGCCCCUUGGACUUCUGAUUGUUCCCAGGCAUGGCGACCUCCAGGCUGGCCUCUCUACAAAGCCCACAAGGCCUGGGCCCGACUUCUUUUUAGCUUCAGCUAAACGGUGGAAUCUGUAAGGGCAAAUAGGCAUAUCCAGAAAAGAGAGACACCCCAGAGUCCUUCCUGGUGUCUACACGGUCCUGUGAGGCGAGAGCUCACCCUGCCUCUAGAAGGCAGACCUUCCUUGGAAAGGGGAAUUAAUGCUUCUCUGUGGCCUAAUCUCCAGACUAUUUCAGGCUGCUGUAAACCUCUACUUCUGGCCACCUUGAGGCUCUACUUUUGGCUUCUUCCAGGCUCUCCUUCUGAAUGCUGCCACAGAGCAAAUUUGGACAUGUGUCUGAGGGCAACAAAGCCAUAUUCAAACCACAGCGAGCACACCCAUCCUCUGUUCUUAAUUUACAAAUGAAGUGAGCAUGACUUACAUGCAAAAUGCAACCCCACCAGCACCCUUCAACCACCUGAAAACCUGGAAUUGCACAUACACUUAAAUGAUAGCACACAUCAAUAAAUUCCACAACCCCCCACCCCCGUCCAAGAGGUUAUGGAUAAAUCCGGCCAACAGCAUCAUGCUCAGAUCCAAGUGAGACAGACGAGAAGCGACUGCUUGUCAUUUAUUCCUGUGCUGCUAUGGGGAGCGUGACUUGGCCCAGGCUGUCGGCCCUUUCUCUUCCUCUGCUUUGCUCCACCUUGAACUGCAGUGGGCUGUGGCAGCUCGCUUCAGUGUCCACCCUGGCUAUCGAGCCACCAUUCGCCACCCCACAUCAGUGCAGCCAGGCCAUGUAUGACCCCUCCCACUCCCCCACUUCGCCAAUACUGUUACAUUUUUGAGAACAGAGAGGACACUGGAAGUAGCUCAGAUCUGGAAAAGAGGGACCUGGACCCCUUAUUUGCAUACCCAGCACUCAUUGCAAGCCUUUUCAAAGAUUCCCUGGCUUUGGCCUUGUCCUCAGUGAAUCAGGUGGGCAGUGCUACCUAAGGAGCACUUCCCAGGUGCUCCUCUGGGUUCAGGGUAGAGGAGCCCCCUUGCAUGUACCAUCCCCUGUGCUGGAACUCAGCCCUGUGACAAUCCUCACUUUUGUGUCCUGUAAUCCUGCUUCUGAUUAGUGUGGGUUCCAAAAGUCAGGAUUGCAGCAGAGCUGCUCUGUGACUGAUUCAUGAUUUCCAUCUGAAUUGAGUAAAAGAACCCACAUCUUGUUGGCAAGACAAAGACCUGGCAUAGCUGUCUUGUGUGAUAACUCAAAACAAAGCAGUUUGUGUAGCGCUUGGCACUUGUUAGGCUGGUCAACAACAGUUAAUAAUUUUCACAAUGCUUCAUGAGGUAAGGGUUAUCACUGUUUUAUGUAUAUAAGUGGAGCUCUGAAAGGUCAAUAGAUUCUACCUUUUAUCUCUUAGUACUCUAGUGGGUAAGGUGGUAUUGAAGACAUUUAAUUGAAUCUGCAAAAUAAUUUUCUUAAACAGGAUACAAUUUAACAGGUUAAUUAUACCUUCUCUAAGAUAUAAUUAACACAUUAUAAGCUGCACAAAUGUUCAUGUUGGUGUGUCUUUGUCUUUUGUCAGUACAUUUGUGAAACAUAAUGAGGAAACCCAUCGUGAUGAGUUGGUACACACUCAUAUACAGUCUUGAUUCUUUCUACUUCCCCUCCUAUUCCUCCUCAUCCUCAGACCCUCUCCUUCUCUCCAUACUCUACCUCCUUGUGUCCUAUCAUCUCUUUUAUUUUUCUCUUUAAAUUAUUUGCACUUUGGAUUUCUCACAUAAUAAAAGUCAAACAAUAGUUCA